rnacentral:lncRNA from 1 species
CUUGGCUGGACUGGAGGUUGGGGACAGUUGGAGGGUAGAGGAGCCGAUGCAGCUUCUCCAAGCUAGGCGGAGAUCCAAAGGAAACACAGCUGGAGACAGGAGAAGCAAGCCAGGUGACCCAGCUGACAUCCUGGGCAAAAACCCAGCUUGGCAUCCUAUGGCCACUGUCACCUGUGCUUACGUACUUGGACCAGGUAUUUCUUCCUGCUGCACCUCAGUUUCCCAACCUGCAGAACAGGGGCAAUACUAGCUCUCCCCAGGGGUCGAUGUGAGCAUUAACUGGGGUAAUAAACAGAGAAGUUGGGGGAAGCUGGGUGUAGUGGUGCACACCUGUAAUCUCGGCGAUUUGGGAGAAUUUGGGAGGCUAAGAGAGGAGGAUCACAAAUUCCAGGUCAGUCUGGGCAAUUUAGCUGUCUCAAAAUAAGAAAUAAAAACUCCCUCGGGGGCUGGGGUUGCGGCUCAGUGGUACAGCGCUCACCUAGCACGUCCGAGGCCCUGGGUUCCAUCCUCAGCACCACAUAAAAAUAAAUAAAGGUAUUGUGUCCAACUACAACUAACAACAACAACAAAAACUUCCUCAAAAAACAAAUCAAAGCAAAAACAAAAAACAAGAAAGAGCUGGAUGUGGGAUUACAUACCUGUAAUCCCAGUGGCCCAGGAGGCUGAGGCAGGAGGAUUGCAAGUUCAAGGCCAGCCUCAGCAAUUUAGUGAGGGCCUAAGCAAUUUACAAGACCCUGUCUGAAAAUAAAAUACAUUAAAAAUGGGGGGUGGGGGUGGGUGGAUGGGGAUUUUGCUCGGUGGUUAAGUGCCCUUGGGCUCAAUCCCCCAUACAAAAAAAAAAAAAAGACACAGAGUGGAUAGUUGAGAGCAUGGGCUCUGGAGCCAGACCAACUUGAGCUAAUUACUUAACCUCUCUGGUCUCAGUUGCCUCAUCUGGAAUCUGGGGGAUGAUGAUACUUACAGGAUGUUACCAGGUGUAAGUGAAUUAGGAUUUGCCAAAUACUUUCUGCUUGUUAACAACUGGCUAAGGCUAAUUAUCAGAAUCGUUAAUUGGGCCCUCUGGUACACCAUGAAGUAGUUCUAGCACUUUAUAUGCUUUAAUCACAUAAAAUCCUCACUUCUAGCUGGGUGUGUAGCUCACACCUGCAAUCCCAGUGGCUUGGGAGGUUGACGCAGGAGGAUUGCAAGUUCAAAGCCAGCCUCAGCAAUUUAGGGAGGCCUUCAGCACUUAGUGAAACCCUAUCUCUCAAUAAAAUAUAAAAAAGGCUGGGGUUGUGGCUCAGUGUUAAUCGCCCCUGGGUUUAAUCCAUGGUACCAAAAAACAAAACAAAACAAAAAAUCCUCACUGCUCCCCAGGACAGAUCAUCCCCGUUUACAGAGGUGGAAGCUGAAGCUCAGAACAGAUUGGCUUUUCUAUUUCCUCUAGAACAAGGGCUGGUGAACCAGGGCUGAGCAGGGACUCCAGCCAGCAGCCUGCUGUCUGAACACUCUGGAGUCGGCUUCCGAGACGCAGUGGUGGACUCAACAAAGCCCGAAAUAGGAACCAUCUGGUGCUUUACCGGAAAGCUUUGAAGAAGCAGGACUGGAACCACGUCUGUCUGGACCAAGCACUUAGUGCUUUCCUGCCUGGGUCUCCGUGGUGCGCCGAACUCACUCUAGUUGUAGAAAAGCAUCUUUCUUUCUUUCUUUCUUUCUUUCUUUCUUUCUUUCUUUCUUUCUCUCUCUCUCUCUCUCUCUUUCUUUCUUUCUUUCGCUGGCCAUGUUUUAUUUGUCCUUUUUCUUCAAACAGGACAGCCAAGAUACAGACGUACAGAGUAAAAUAAAAUAGAUGGACAGAUCCUAAGAGACUGCGAUGCACAGGCUACAUUCAACCUGAUUUUAUUCAUGCUUGCCUUUGGGUGGGGAAUAGAUCAUUCAGUAAAAACAUACAGUAAAAACAAACAAUGUCUUACCAUGUACAACUUUUAAACUACAAUAAUUAUGUACCUUAAUUACUUCCUGCACACAGGUCUAACAUUACAGUAUUUUUUA